rnacentral:snRNA from 1 species
AUACUUACCUGGCAGCAGAGCUAACAUGAUCACAAAGGUGCACUUUCCAGGGGAAGUCUUAUCUAUUACAUCAAGGUGUGCUGACUCCUAUAAGUUCCCCAAAUUUUAAAAGUGAGAAACAUAAAGGGAUCUAAAUGGAAGUGAGGUUUCCAU